rnacentral:rRNA from 1 species
AUGUAAUGUAAUUCCUACAACAUUAUUGCAAUGGAUCCCAUUAUAACUUUGCAGUUAAUCAUGCUUGGGAUAGAGUAGUACUAGAAUGGGGUGACCUCCUGGGAAGUCCUAGUGUUUUACAUG